ACUCAAAUGAAUUGACGGGGGCCCGCACAAGCGGCGGAGCAUGCGGAUUAAUUCGAUGCAACGCGAAGAACCUUACCAAGGCUUGACAUACACCGGAAAAGUGCAGAGAUGUGCUCCCCGCAAGGUCGGUGUACAGGUGGUGCAUGGUUGUCGUCAGCUCGUGUCGUGAGAUGUUGGGUUAAGUCCCGCAACGAGCGCAACCCUCGUCCCAUGUUGCCAGCGGGUUAUGCCGGGGACUCAUGGGAGACUGCCGGGGUCAACUCGGAGGAAGGUGGGGAUGACGUCAAAUCAUCAUGCCCCUUAUGUCUUGGGCUUCACGCAUGCUACAAUGGCCGGUACAAAGGGCUGCGAUACCGCGAGGUGGAGCGAAUCCCAAAAAGCCGGUCUCAGUUCGGAUUGGGGUCUGCAACUCGACCCCAUGAAGUCGGAGUCGCUAGUAAUCGCAGAUCAGCAACGCUGCGGUGAAUACGUUCCCGGGCCUUGUACACACCGCCCGU
rnacentral:rRNA from 1 species